AAACAUUAUGCUGUCUAGAAUGAAGAAAAAUGCAGUGAAGAGACCCCUGAUGUAAUGAGUUUUCAGAAUUACAGAGACAAAGAUGCAUAUCAGGAAGAUGACAGAAAUGGAUGGGAUAAUAUCACCACACAGUUGCAGGCAUCAUUUUAUAGUACAGACAAUUGACGUAUUUUCGGGAGAAAGAAUGAACGUGGCAUACGGCAUACCAAAAAUGAUCACUGAGGAGGUGAAGGCCACCACCAGGUCAGAAAAACAGAGUGGAGAACUAUUACAUGUGAAAGCGUGAACAGAAGUGGGACAUAUUUAGAGUCAAGGCUGGAUUUCUGGCAAGGAUGAUGCAGGAUUCGAAGGAGAACCAGCAGAGAGACUUCAGGGUCCAUCAGGUAUCAAGUAAAGAGUGGUUUUCCACACUGACGUUGACGUUACAGUUGGCUUUUGAUUGCCCAGGAGUUAGGUAUUUGCUGACGCCAACGGGAUGGCUGUCUUCUUCUUCCCGGCCUCAAGAAAGCCCAGUUCCCUGCCCGUGUCGCUCUAGAGGACCUUAAACAGUCUCUUGCAAGGGACACCACGGCUGAAGACUGAAGAGUAAUAUUUAUCAACAUUAAAUAGACGGGUGGUGAAAUAUGCAUAAAUAUUUCUUCAUAGAAACGUAACACGAAAUUAAAUAGUUCAGCAACACGCACACCACUGAGUCCACGUCCGCUGAUGUUGCUCGUAAACACCAGCUUACACUGAACACAAGCAGCUUCUGUUCUGGCUCCGGGUCCACGACACGGACGCCCUGUACAAGGUGAGGUUUCUCCUCAGUCCCCCCCCACCCACCCCCCGCUCCCCACACGGCCCCGGCAAAAGGAAGGAGAAGGAGCCCCGACAAUUACAGCAGCGACGAAAACAACAGCAACGGCAGCACCCCUCCCCUCCCCGCCAAAUACAACAUUUAAGCUUUUGGAUCAAUUCAAAGGAGAUACAAAAAUCGUUGUCGCGAAAUGUAAGGAGAUCAAUUGGAAGCGAUACUUCCCAGAGUGCUAAUGCUUUCUUCAGAGGACACGCGAGUUCCUAAACCCCGCCGACGGCUGGGUGAAGGUCACAGAACGAACCAGAAAGCACUGGCCACUGCUAAGUAACACAGGUGUGAGCCCUUUUUUGUUUGGAAGGUGCCAGGUAGCAAGAAAUCCAAUCCCACGCUCUCCUCCCCUCCUCGCACACCCCACCCCCCCCACCCCCCACCCCCCCACAGUGUCCCUUUUUGCUUUGCCAUCUAUAUUGCUGUGUGUGACAUUCAAGCGUGACACUAGUACUGAGUUUCAAGCAGUUUGGAUAGCAGACAUUUCGU
rnacentral:lncRNA from 1 species